rnacentral:rRNA from 1 species
CCUACGGGGGGCUGCAGUCGAGAAUAGUCUACAAUGGACGAAAGUCUGAUAGUGCGACGCCGCGUGAACGAAGAAGCCCUUCGGGGUGUAAAGUUCUUUUAUAUGUGAGCAAUGCUUCUUAGGUGAAUAGUUUAAGGAGAGAGAUAUUAGCAUAUGAAUAAGCAACGGCUAACUCCGUGCCAGCAGCCGCGGUAACACGGGGGUUGCAAGCGUUGUCCGGAAUUACUAGGCGUAAAGGGCAGGUAGGCGGAUAGAUAAGUUUGAUGUUUAAGGCAGCGGCUCACCCGCUGUAAGGCAUCAGAUACUGUUUAUCUGGAAUACGGUUGGGGAAGACAGAAUUCCUGGUGUAGCGGUGGAAUGCGCAGAGAUCAGGAGGAAUACCGAAGGCGAAGGCAGUCUUCUAAGCCGUUAUUGACGCUAAACUGCGAAGGUGUGGGUAUCAAACAGGAUUAGAUACCCUGGUAGUC